CUACGGGAGGCAGCAGUGGGGAAUAUUGGACAAUGGGGGAAACCCUGAUCCAGCAAUGCCGCGUGUGUGAAGAAGGCCUGCGGGUUGUAAAGCACUUUCGGUUGGGAGGACUGCUUCUAGCACUAAUAUUGUUGGAAGUUGACGUUACCUUCAGAAGAAGCACCGGCUAACUCCGUGCCAGGCGAGCCGCGGGUAAUGACGGAGGGUGCAAGCGUUAAUCGGAAGUACUGGGCGUAAAGCGCGCGUAGGCGGCUAGAUCAGUCGGGUGUGAAAGCCCCGGGCUUAACCUGGGAACUGCAUCCGAUACUGUCUAGCUUGAGUACAGGAGAGGAGAGUGGAAUUCCACAUGUAGCGGUGAAAUGCGUAGAUAUGUGGAGGAACACCAAUGGCGAAGGCAGCUCUCUGGCCUGAUACUGACGCUGAGGUGCGAAAGCGUGGGGAGCAAACAGGAUUAGAUACCCCCGUAGUC
rnacentral:rRNA from 1 species